rnacentral:rRNA from 1 species
GAUGAACGCUGGCGGCAUGCCUAAGACAUGCAAGUCGUACGAGACGACCCGUUGACUUAUUGAUGAAGUUUGAGAGCUUGCUCGAAAAUGGAUGAUAUAACGAUUCGGAUUCUUCGUCUAGUGGCGAAAGGGUGAGUAACACGUGGGUAAUCUACCUCAGAGACUGGGAUAACGGCUAGAAAUGGUCGCUAAUACCGGAUGAUAUAUAAGAGGAUACGUUCUUUUAUAGUAAAAGGAGCCUUUAAAGCUUCACUUUGAGAUGAGCCUGCGACGUAUUAGCUAGUUGGUGGGGUAAUGGCCUACCAAGGCGACGAUGCGUAGCCGACCUGAGAGGGUGAUCGGCCACAUUGGGACUGAGACACGGCCCAAACUCCUACGGGAGACAGCAGUUAGGAAUAUUCGUCAAUGGGGGAAACCCUGAACGAGCAAUGCCGCGUGAAGGAAGACGGUCCUUUGGAUUGUAAACUUCUGUUGUUAGGGAAGAACGACCUAUAUAGGAAAUGAUAUAGGAGUGACGGUACCUUUCAAGAAAGCUCCGGCUAACUACGUGCCAGCAGCCGCGGUAAUACGUAGGGAGCGAGCGUUAUCCGGAUUUAUUGGGUGUAAAGGGUGCGUAGGCGGUUUAUUAGGUCUAAGGUUUAAGUCCGAAGCUCAACUUCGGUUCGCCUUAGAAACCGGUUUACUUGAGUAUGGUAGAGGCAAGUGGAAUUUCUAGUGUAGCGGUAAAAUGCGUAGAUAUUAGAAGGAACACCAGUGGCGAAGGCGACUUGCUGGGCCAUUACUGACGCUGAGGCACGAAAGCGUGGGGAGCAAAUAGGAUUAGAUACCCUAGUAGUCCACGCCGUAAACGAUGGAUACUAAGUGUCGGGCAACCGGUGCUGAAGUUAACACAUUAAGUAUCCCACCUGAGUAGUACGGUCGCAAGGCUG